AGAGUUUGAUCMUGGCUCAGGAUGAACGCUAGCUACAGGCUUAACACAUGCAAGUCGAGGGGCAGCAUGGUCUUAGCUUGCUAAGGCCGAUGGCGACCGGCGCACGGGUGAGUAACACGUAUCCAACCUGCCGUCUACUCUUGGACAGCCUUCUGAAAGGAAGAUUAAUACAAGAUGGCAUCAUGAGUCCGCAUGUUCACAUGAUUAAAGGUAUUCCGGUAGACGAUGGGGAUGCGUUCCAUUAGAUAGUAGGCGGGGUAACGGCCCACCUAGUCUUCGAUGGAUAGGGGUUCUGAGAGGAAGGUCCCCCACAUUGGAACUGAGACACGGUCCAAACUCCUACGGGAGGCAGCAGUGAGGAAUAUUGGUCAAUGGGCGAGAGCCUGAACCAGCCAAGUAGCGUGAAGGAUGACUGCCCUAUGGGUUGUAAACUUCUUUUAUAAAGGAAUAAAGUCGGGUAUGCAUACCCGUUUGCAUGUACUUUAUGAAUAAGGAUCGGCUAACUCCGUGCCAGCAGCCGCGGUAAUACGGAGGAUCCGAGCGUUAUCCGGAUUUAUUGGGUUUAAAGGGAGCGUAGAUGGAUGUUUAAGUCAGUUGUGAAAGUUUGCGGCUCAACCGUAAAAUUGCAGUUGAUACUGGAUAUCUUGAGUGCAGUUGAGGCAGGCGGAAUUCGUGGUGUAGCGGUGAAAUGCUUAGAUAUCACGAAGAACUCCGAUUGCGAAGGCAGCCUGCUAAGCUGCAACUGACAUUGAGGCUCGAAAGUGUGGGUAUCAAACAGGAUUAGAUACCCUGGUAGUCCACACGGUAAACGAUGAAUACUCGCUGUUUGCGAUAUACRGCAAGCGGCCAAGCGAAAGCGUUAAGUAUUCCACCUGGGGAGUACGCCGGCAACGGUGAAACUCAAAGGAAUUGACGGGGGCCCGCACAAGCGGAGGAACAUGUGGUUUAAUUCGAUGAUACGCGAGGAACCUUACCCGGGCUUAAAUUGCAGAUGAAUUACGGUGAAAGCCGUAAGCCGCAAGGCAUCUGUGAAGGUGCUGCAUGGUUGUCGUCAGCUCGUGCCGUGAGGUGUCGGCUUAAGUGCCAUAACGAGCGCAACCCUUGUUGUCAGUUACUAACAGGUUCCGCUGAGGACUCUGACAAGACUGCCAUCGUAAGAUGUGAGGAAGGUGGGGAUGACGUCAAAUCAGCACGGCCCUUACGUCCGGGGCUACACACGUGUUACAAUGGGGGGUACAGAGGGCCGCUACCACGCGAGUGGAUGCCAAUCCCAAAAACCUCUCUCAGUUCGGACUGGAGUCUGCAACCCGACUCCACGAAGCUGGAUUCGCUAGUAAUCGCGCAUCAGCCACGGCGCGGUGAAUACGUUCCCGGGCCUUGUACACACCGCCCGUCAAGCCAUGGGAGCCGGGGGUACCUGAAGUGCGUAACCGCGAGGAGCGCCCUAGGGUAAAACU
rnacentral:rRNA from 1 species